rnacentral:rRNA from 1 species
CAGUAGCCACGGUAAUACGUAGGGUGCGGGCGUUAAUCGGAAUUACUGGGCGUAAAGCGUGCGCAGGCGGUUCGUUAAGACAGAUGUGAAAUCCCCGGGCUUAACCUGGGAACUGCAUUUGUGACUGGCGAGCUAGAGUAUGGCAGAGGGGGGUAGAAUUCCACGUGUAGCAGUGAAAUGCGUAGAGAUGAGGAGGAAUACCGAUGGCGAAGGCAGCCCCCUGGGCCAAUACUGACGCUAAUGCACGAAAGCGUGGGGAGCAAACAGGAUUAGAUACCCGCGUAGUCCCUGUCUCUUAUAA